rnacentral:rRNA from 1 species
GAUGAACGCUGGCGGCGUGCUUAACACAUGCAAGUCGAGCGAAGCACUUGGAACCGAUCCUUCGGGUGAAGUUCCAUUUGACUGAGCGGCGGACGGGUGAGUAACGCGUGGGUAACCUGCCUCAUACAGGGGAAUAACAGUUUGAAAAGACUGCUAAUGCCGCAUAAGCGCACAGGGCCGCAUGGCCCGGUGUGAAAAACUCCGGUGGUAUGAGAUGGACCCGCGUCUGAUUAGCUAGUUGGUGAGGUAACGGCCCACCAAGGCGACGAUCAGUGGCCGACCUGAGAGGGUGACCGGCCACAUUGGGACUGAGACACGGCCCAAACUCCUACGGGAGGCAGCAGUGGGGAAUAUUGCACAAUGGGGGAAACCCUGAUGCAGCGACGCCGCGUGGAUGAAGAAGUAUUUCGGUAUGUAAAGUCCUAUCAGCAGGGAAGAAAAUGACAGUACCUGACUAAGAAGCCCCGGCUAACUACAUGCCAGCAGCCGCCGUAA